GCUGGCGGCGUGCUUAACACAUGCAAGUCGAACGCGAAAGGGACUACGGUCCUGAGUAAAGUGGCGCACGGGUGAGUAACGCGUAGAUAACCUGUCUUCAUGUCUGGAAUAAUACGCCGAAAGGGGUACUAAUACCGGAUAUUCUUGCUUUUCAUAAGUUAUGCAAGCAAAGGUGGCCUCUGCAUAUGCUACUGCAUGAAGAGGGGUCUGCGUACCAUUAGCUAGUAGGUGGGGUAAUGGCCUACCCAGGCGACGAUGGUUAGCGGGUCUGAGAGGAUGAUCCGCCACACUGGCACUGGAACACGGGCCAGACUCCUACGGGAGGCAGCAGUGAGGAAUAUUGCGCAAUGGGGGAAACCCUGACGCAGCGACGCCGCGUGAGUGAAGGAAGGCCUUCGGGUCGUAAAGCUCUGUCAAGAGGAAAGAAGUGUACAAUGGCUAAUACCUGUUGUAUUUGACGGUACCUCUAAAGGAAGCACCGGCUAACUCCGUGCCAGCCGCUGC
rnacentral:rRNA from 1 species